rnacentral:lncRNA from 9 species
AUGAUUUUGUGUUUUCAAUAGUAAAUGCGUGUGUGUGGAUAUCUGUAUGUGUACACAUGCACAUAUGGAGUUAUAUAUUCCCUAGCUCAUUCCAUUGAGAAAACCUAAGAGCAAUGUCAUUGCAACAACAUUACCUACUAUUCGGAUCUAACUAGGAUUCUCUACAGAAAAUAACAAAAGAAAAACAAACAAACAAAAAACCCCAGAGCUCCUUGAAGAAGUACUUAAUUCCAGGGCAGGGGCUGAAAAAGUAUAAGAUAAGCCUGAAAGAUUUUUGUGUGUGUGCUGGAAGGUAAAGAAAUAGUCAAAGAAUGAUGGGAAUAUGUCAUAAGAAUAUAAAAGCCAGCCUGAAAGACCUCCCACUAGCCAAAUCUGGAAAAAUUUGAGCAUCAGUAAACAAUAGUAGAAGCAGAUAUUGCUUACAGAAUAAAACAAGCAUCCACAAGUUCAUACUAAUAUACAUAAAUGAAUAAAUGAAUGAAAGAGGAGAAGAAAAAGCUUUACCUUAUGUAGCAUACAUUUUAUACCUCAGCGCUGUAUAUAUAAUGCAGAAGGAAUGACAGGUUUAGGAAAUCACUCCUCAGCAUCAUAGUAGAAAAUUUUAUAAGGCUUCUAGACACAGAAUAGAACUUUCAAAGGCAACUAAUAAAAGAUAACUAGACUAGUAAUAGACUUGUUAUCUACAACGUUGGUUGACUCAGACAAUUUGCAUUUAUAUUUACAGACCACUGGCACUACUCCUCUACAAAGGAAAGUUCUCAUCCUCAUGUGAGAGCAAAGUAAAGAAGUUUUGGCCUGUCGUCAGGGCUCUGAAAAUUCUGUAUACCUUUCGAGAAAAUUCUGUAACCAAGUGAAAAUCAAACCUCAUGAUAGGGAAGAUGAAAAGUUCAAGAAACAUUGGUGAACAAUAAAUGUCAUAAUAUUUACAAUUAAAUCUAAGUGGAUAAUGACGGUUAACUGGAGAUUAUACUUUGUUAAGAAUUUUGAAACAGGAGAGAAACUGUGAGGAAAACCUUGAUAACUGUCUGGGAUUGAAAUCCUAUAAUCAUCUCUUAUAAGUUGAAGAUUUGGGCAAUAGGGAAGGUAAGGGCUGUUAAAUGUUCUAAAGGUUUUAUUUCAGUGGAAGGAGUGCAGAAGGAUUAAACUAGUAACAGCACAUAGAAAGGCAAAAUUGUUACUUAUUUUUUGAUGUAUCAAUGGAAAGAUUUAAUUUUGACAGCUGGGAAGACAAAUGUUAGUAAAAUAGAAAGAUUUAUGUCUGAUGGGGAAUGAGCAAGUUGGAGGACAUUAUGUAAUUUUCGCUUAUCCAUAGAAAUAGUAAUAUAACUGUUAAUAUUAGGAAGGUUAUGAGUAGCAGAAUGGAGAUGCAUAAUGAAAAUUCCAGUUGAUGAGUAGAAAAGGAAAAGAUAAAAAGAAACCUUAUCAAUUUAGUAAGAGUAAGAAAAAGAGAAAAGCAGGUACAAAAAAUAUACAAUUAAGUGCAAGAAAAAAAUUAGAUGUGUAAAUUUUCACUACAACUGUAAAAUUAUCCCAUCAAAAAGCAAAAACUCUCACAUGGAGUUUCAGAAUUAAAUUCAAUUGUAUUCUGUAUGAGGCAAUGCCUCAGUAAGAUGACACAUUCAAAAUAGGAGAAUUUGAGAAAGGUUUACUUAGGAAGUUGUGGGUGGGGAGUAAAGAACUACAAGGCAUCGUGUUAUACUGGGAGAAUACCAGCAGAGCUCAUGCCACUCCCAGGCCCAAAAGGGUGAAGGGAGGACAGGGUUAGCAGAACCCAAAAAGAAAGAAUCAUGUAGAGAAUGACACCCAGAGAGGAGCAGUGACUCUCACUUGAAGGUCACUGUGGUGAUAUCAUAGGAAGAAUUAACUAGAGUCUCCUCCUUCCCUUGCUUUAGCCAGAGAGCAAGAGGAGAAGUUGGUGUGGUCCAUACAGGUCAGCCUCUUUGCAGGGGCUGGAAGAAUGAAUGGAGGAUGCAGAGAAGCCAGCAAACAAGGUACCUGCCACACGUACUGUUUACAACAGCUGCGCCUAAUUUAAAGCAACAAAACUUCAAAGAAAGGAAAGAACAUGGACACUGUGUCUACUUCCAGCCUAGAAAGUCUUGAAGAUAGAGGCCACCGAAUGGUCUGUGCCGCAGGGCUUGAGGGCACAGUGGUGAAGCACAACUAGGAAGAAGAUGAGGCAACCAUCCUCCCAUCCAGGUCCAACUUGAUGUUACCCUAUAUUAUGGGGGAUCUCAAAUUUUUCCCAUAGUAGAUAGAAUAUGAGCCACUAUAUCAUAGACAGUUAUGGCACACUUUAAAUGGCCCCUCUACAAUAUACAUGGACAAACAAUUCACACAAGCUCUUAAUAAAUUAUGGAGUUCCCAUCGUGGCACAGCAGAAAUGAAUCCGACUAGGAACCAUGAAGUUGCUGGUUCGAUGCCUGGCCUCGCUCAGUGGGUUAGGAAUCUAGUGUUGCUGUGAGCUCUGGUGUAGGUUACAGACACAGCUCAGAUCUGACGUUGCUCUGGCUAUGGCCGGCAGCUGUAGCUUUGAUUAGACCCCUAGCCUGGGAACCUCCAUAUGCUAUGGGU